CCUACGGGAGGUAGCAGUGAGGAAUAUUGGUCAAUGGGCGCGAGCCUGAACCAGCCAAGUAGCGUGAAGGAUGACUGCCCUACGGGUUGUAAACUUCUUUUAUAAAGGAAUAAAGUGAGGCACGUGUGCCUUUUUGUAUGUACUUUAUGAAGAAGGAUCGGCUAACUCCGUGCCAGCAGCCGCGGUAAUACGGAGGAUGCGAGCGUUAUCCGGAUUUAUUGGGUUUAAAGGGUGCGUAGGCGGGAUGCCAAGUACGCGGUAAAAAUGCGGUGCUAAACGCCGUCGAGCCGUUGAAACUGGCGUUCUUGAGUGGGCGAGAAGUAUGCGGAAUGCAUGGUGUAGCGGUGAAAUGCAUAGAUAUCACGCAGAACUCCGAUUGCGAAGGCAGCAUACCGGCGCCCUACUGACGCUGAGGCACGAAAGCGUGGGUAUCGAACAGGAUUAGAUACCCCAGUAGUC
rnacentral:rRNA from 1 species